GCGUUGUUCGGAAUUACUGGGCGUAAAGGGCUCGUAGGCGGCCAACUAAGUCAGACGUGAAAUCCCUCGGCUUAACCGGGGAACUGCGUCUGAUACUGGAUGGCUUGAGUUUGGGAGAGGGAUGCGGAAUUCCAGGUGUAGCGGUGAAAUGCGUAGAUAUCUGGAGGAACACCCGUGGCGAAGGCGGCUCUCUGGGACGUGACUGACGCUGAGACGCGAAAGCGUGGGGAGCGAACAGG
rnacentral:rRNA from 1 species